AUUCUGUUGAAAUUGUAAAGAAAAUUCUUGUUACGGAGAGAAAAAAGAAACUUGAUCGAUAUUUCUUAACAUCAGUAUUUGCAACACUUCCUUGAAUGUUGAAGUUCAAUGACCUCGAUGGUAUGCAGACAAAUAAACAAUGAAGUGGCAGGAGUUUAUUGAAUGCACCUGAGGAUAUUUUGAAGCUUGCAAAGAAGAAUAAUUGGAGCUAUACUUCGAUAAUAUAUUGUAAUCAGAUAAUUAAGGUAUAUAGAAGUAAUCUA